rnacentral:rRNA from 1 species
AUUGAACGCUGGCGGCAGGCCUAACACAUGCAAGUCGAACGAGUGGCGGACGGGUGAGUAAUGUCUGGGAAACUGCCUGAUGGAGGGGGAUAACUACUGGAAACGGUAGCUAAUACCGCAUACUAUCAGAUGAGCCUAGGUCGGAUUAGCUAGUGGGUGGGGUAAAGGCUUACCAAGGCGACGAUCCGUAACUGGUCUGAGAGGAUGAUCAGUCACACUGGGACUGAGACACGGUCCAGACUCCUACGGGAGGCAGCAGUGGGGAAGAUUGGACAAUGGGCGAAAGCCUGAUCCAGCCAUGCCGCGUGUGUGAAGAAGGUCUUCGGAUUGUAAAGCACUUUAAGUUGGGAGGCGUUACCCGCAGAAGAAGCACCGGCUAACUCCGUGCCAGCAGCCGCGGUAAUUC